CGAUUCCCGGCCAAUGCAAAGAGAACUUUU
rnacentral:piRNA from 1 species